CUCUUAACUUAAAAACUGAGAAGUAACGUUUUUGAAGAUUCUUAUUCUAUGCUUCGUUGUUGAGAUAUUUCGGUUAAGAUAAUCGUGACAAUAAAGGAAAUCAAACAUAAAAAAAUCUUCAAAAGAAGUUACUGUACAGUUUUAGGGUCUGUUCAUAUGAGCGCGGUUUGCCCAAAAGCUCCCCUGAGUGGGAUGAACUGUUUUUGUGCCCGCCUCAGUGGGACGACAUUAGGGAGUUUACGAAUGUAAGA